CUCCGUCUAUGUCAUUCCAGUCGAUGAGUUGUGAACUUAACUAUUCUGUUUCCUGGUGUAUGAAGCUUUGGUCUCUAUAUUGCAUGUGCUAUUCUCUAUAGGAGUUGACGCAAGCCGGAGGUAUCUUCCAAGUAUGGAAGCCUCGCCUUAUCUUUAUUCAAAGGAGCUCUGAUGUAGUCAACAUGCAUUGUUUUGUUCUUGUUUUUUUUUGUUUCUUUUGAUCUGGCCGUUCCUUAUUCAAUUUAGAUUGGUAAAAUUAAAGAUCGUUUUAUCACUCUGUUGAUCAUUGUUUCCCAUGUGUGAGCUGUUGUUUCUGGGUACCUUUUGUUUGGUUCGUCGGACUGUUCUUACCGGGAUUAGUGGUAGUCGCCAGUGUUUAAAAUAGUGUUUAAUCAUAAUGUAUCUUGUGUUUGUUAAUCAUAAUGAAAAUAGUGUUUAAAAAAUUUAUUAGUAUCUAAUCUAUUAAUUUAAGGUUCUAUUUUUAUCUACCAUUAGCAAGUCAUAUUAGGACCACUUAAAGAAAUAGUUAAUAUGACAUAUUUGAUUAUUUACAUUAAUAAUAAACCAACUAUAAAUUUGAAUUUU
rnacentral:lncRNA from 1 species